rnacentral:rRNA from 1 species
GAUUCUGGCUCAGGAUGAACGCUGGCGGCGUGCCUAACACAUGCAAGUCGAGCGAUUACUUCGGUAAAGAGCGGCGGACGGGUGAGUAACGCGUGGGUAACCUGCCUCAUACACAUGGAUAACAUACCGAAAGGUAUGCUAAUACAGGAUAAUAUAAGAGAUUCACAUGGAUUUCUUAUCAAAGCUCCGGCGGUAUGAGAUGGACCCGCGUCUGAUUAGCUAGUUGGUAAGGUAAUGGCUUACCAAGGCGACGAUCAGUAGCCGACCUGAGAGGGUGAUCGGCCACAUUGGAACUGAGACACGGUCCAAACUCCUACGGGAGGCAGCAGUGGGGAAUAUUGCACAAUGGGCGAAAGCCUGAUGCAAGCAACGCCGCGUGAGUGAUGAAGGCCUUCGGGUCGUAAAACUCUGUCCUCAAGGAAGAUAAUGACGGUACUUGAGGAGGAAGCCCCGGCUAACUACGUGCCAGCAGCUGC